UGCAUGACCUCUCUAAAGUCCGUCAUGUUCAUCGGAUGUCCUUAAAACCCCGUAUUCAAUGUAAUCCGGCUCCAAUUGAGUCUCCUGAGGGUCAGUCUAAGUUGCCCACACCCUUAGAAGACGAGUUUGAAGAUGAGGAUUUGGUGUAUGUGUUAGAAUCCCCGCUGGUUCCUCAAGGGGAUGUGGAAAUGGUUCAAGCUCCUUCAGAAGUAAGUGUUAGUCCCACUCCUGGGGUUGAGGAACCAGGUACUAGGCCCACAGCAUUGGAAAGUAAGGGUGUAGGAUCGCAGUCAGAGCUGGGAUUCAUUGGGUUGGGACCGCCCAAUACAUCUGUAAGAGCCCCAAGACGAACUGGGCGUACUGGGGCAGGUCAGCACUCAAACCUUCACCGCUUACCACGAGCUGUAGGUGGUGAGGUUAAUCAGAUUUCUGCCAGAUCUACCUUGGAGUCUAGCUCUCUGGUUGCUUUGUUUAGGCCCUGGGAUUAGUGUUCAUCGUCGGGACUACGAUGACUAAUGGGGGGGUAGAUUGUGGUAAUGCGAUCGACCAGUUGAUUAUUUGUGUGCAAAUGGUAUGUUCCACGGGUAUAAAAGGGGAUGAGAUUGACAGGCAACCAAGCGCACGUCACCAAACGCGUCAUCUGGGAUUUCGGAAGUGAUGUAACUUCCUGUGGGUCGUGUUUAUGUCUACGAGGUAAGCGCUACCACCAGUAGCUGCAUUCUGAACUUUUUCUGUCAAACAGGGUCAUUUGUGAUUCGUUUAAAUUUGCAGUGUGCGGCUGAGGAAUAUUGUGGAUGUGUCGAGUGACACUUUGUCAGCUUUUCACUGAUACACGUCAAGUGUGCGGAGCGGUGUGAGCCCUAUUUGGCAGAAUUGGGGUACCAGUGCGAGCCAGUGUCUGCGGUGUGUGGUGGUGGGACAGCUGUCAACUUGCAGUGAUCACAAUUUGGUGUGUGGUGUUGUGAGAGAACACGAGUGCUUGCUGUGUUUAACUAAAAGGCAGUACAAAUUCCCCCAGUUCUGAAGUGGUAAAACAAGUGUGCAUGGAUGAAUGAUGUCGUGACUUAUUGUACUCUUUUUAACUUUUUGCAUAUUAAAAUGAAUUAUGUAUUUUCCAUGUGUUUUGAAUAAAUUGUUUCAAAUAUU